CGACGCUAAUCGCUCUUUUGAAACUGGGCCGCUUUGGUAUCCACACGCGCGCUCGUCCAGCGGCGUUCUGUUUCCGUUUAAUGCGGCUUUGGCGUAGCGCGAGCGCGGGCGCGUUGCAAUUCGAAUGCGAAAAUGAACGGGACCGACGCUCUCCGUGCGCCGGUCGUUCAAUAUGGCCGUUACUAUUAAGUGCGGCGACGAAACAUACGCGCCGGACGUAUCUAAGGCUCCAUAAAUCCACUUCCGGCCCAUAUCGUUUACCUACGACGAAGAGUUCGGGAGCAGCAUACUCCGGAGAUCCGCAUUGCGUUCGCAGAGGAUCGCCGCUAGCGUAAAUAUUGCUGAGACCAAAAUCUACGAUCGUGGAAAACAUCGGUCAUCAGAUCGGGCGAGGUAAUUGUGCUCUCCGUGCGGGUGAGACGAGAAUCGACGCGACAUCCGGGCGACGACGAGAUGGCACGCCGGUGGAAUAGAAAUGGCAAAAUAAAACGAGCCGUGAGAGAUCAAGGUCACCGUCGGCGAACGGAGCCAAUUAGCCAGCCAUAGACUCGAUUAGCCAGCCGGCGGAAGCGCUCCGGACUGGCGAAACUGCGCGUAUAACGGGCCAAAGGAUAUACAGGCACCCUCGGUCAACUGAUAUUCCGACCCUCGCAUCCCGUUUCUUCCCGUUUGAGCGUUGCAGAACAUUGAAUUGAUCUUGAGAGUCGCGAUGGUAAGCCAAAAUACUAUACAGAGAUCGCUUACUAACGAAUGUUUCUGCGUGGGUCGAGAUAUACGAGCGAGCCGCCGUGCAGCUAUACCCAGGGCUCGACAUGUCAAGGUCUCUCCUGCGGGAAGGUAUAUCGCACCACCACCAUUUAACGCGACGCACGCACAUUCACGCAUCUCCGAUAUCCUGUAUCCCGGAUCCGCGAAGCCAGGAUGCGAGAUUGUCGCUAUAAGCCGCGCGUUAUACCGUAAAGCUGCGCGUGAUGCUCAAUUUCGAGAUUACAAUCAGCUUUAUACUUCUUUAAUUUCGUAUAAAUCAGAUGUUCUAAAAGGCAAUGUGCAUUUAAGAAAACAAAUUAAGAAAUAAAGGAACUUUCGUAAUUUCUCAAUGAAAAAUAAUUAUAUUUUAUAUCUAUAAAUAUACAUG